CCAAACCUUGGUGUGUUGGAAAUUUGUCUGGCCGAAGAUACAAAUCCAGAAGAUCAGCCGAGUUGUCCUGCAAAGAGCUGCAAUACCAGUUCAAGUGGAGAUACUGAAGUGGACUCAGAUGACACCAUAAUAUUACAACACAGUCAUACAACAAGACGAAGAGUUGAACCACCUCUCUUGCCAAAGUGGUUGCUGUCAUUGGUGAGGAUGCAUCAUCCGUUGAAGGUCAUGUGAAUGUCCUGCAUAUCCUGUACAGCAAAGUGCGAGAGGAUAUACUAAAGAAGUACCCUUUCUUGAAGACAACCUCAGGGUUUUAUGAUGAAGUUGACCGAAUGCAUCCAUCACCUGUCAGGUUAAGCCAGCGCUUCAAGGACGGCGUUUACCAGUAUUGUGCCAAAGGUGCUUGAGCUUGUUCAAAGAAAAGCUCCAUUAGCCAAAGUCUCCAAA